ACCCUGCGAGCAGAUACCUCUGCUGAUUGACCUGCUCCCGGCUUGAUGAAUCUGUCCGGGGGAGAGGGAUCCGGAAUCUACCUUGUCCUGGCCCCCCCCCCACCACCACCCUGAUUUUGGAUGUUCUUUUGAUCCUACACCGAUCUGGGAAGGUAACCGUGAGCCCUACCAUCUGCAGCACACAGCAGCUAUUGGAGGUUACUACUGACAGUUUUCAUUACACUGGGGUGUGUGUGCGUGUGUGUCAGUGUGUGUGUUUGUGUGUGUGAGUGUGGGCGCCUGCUUUUGCGUGAAAGAGGAUGUGCGAGUGUCCGUGAGAGUGUGUGUGUGUGUGUAUGUGCGUGUUUGUGUGACAACCAAAGCAGGUAUAUCGUACAGUAGGAGAUUUCAACAGCGUGAAAAUAUUCUCGGGGCACUUGGACUCACAGUGUGGAGCCCCCAGCCUUCACUAUCCCUUUCCUUCCCCACUCUCCCCCUCUCUCUUUUUGCCUUUGAUGAGUUUUUGGCUUACUUUUUGGCGGAGUCUCUUGGACACGUUUUUGCUGGUGCUGGAAGAUCAGAUAAAUGGAACCUUUGAAAACUGAUUAUUUUUCUCCUCUGUGACUUAAAAAAAAACAAAAAACAAAGAAGAAGAAGAUAGAGUAGUGCAAGAUAAGCUAGAGGAUUUUAAAUUUUCCUUGGUGAACUUUGAGGAUCCAUAAAGAAGAAACCAAAUGAAGUGUUUACUGUCAUUAUCCCUAUUUGAUGAAGAGGAUACUGAGGCUCACAGAGAAUUAACUUGUCCAAAAUCAUCUAAUAUCAAGUAAUCACAAGUGAAUGAGCUGAAAGCACACACGGAAGCCGGGACCAGACUUUCAUUGAGGGGAAAACUUACAGAGACAGAACAGUAGCAGAAAUGGUUUUCAGUCCUGCAAGGCUGCCAGAUCACCCAGCGAGAGUGGGACCAAGUCAACUGGAACAUCCAACCCAC